ACGAACGCUGGCGGCGUGUUUAAGACAUGCAAGUCGCACGGAAGAUUUAUGGAGCUUGCUUUAUGAAUCUUUAGUGGCGCACGGGUGAGUAACACGUGAGUUACAUGCCCUGCAGAGGGGGAUAGCCCGGGGAAACUCGGAUUAAUACCCCAUGGUCCCGCGAGGGUAAAGGUGGCCGCAAGGCUGUCGCUGCAGGAUUGGCUCGCGUCCUAUCAGCUAGUUGGUGAGGUAACGGCUCACCAAGGCGACGACGGGUACCUGGUCUGAGAGGACGAUCAGGCACACUGGAACUGAGACACGGUCCAGACACCUACGGGUGGCAGCAGUCGAGAAUCAUUCACAAUGGGGGCAACCCUGAUGGUGCAACGCCGCGUGGAGGAUGAAGGUCUUCGGAUUGUAAACUCCUGUCAUCUGGGAGUAAGACCUGGCUAUGAAUAGUAGACAGGGUUGAUAGUACCAGAAGAGGAAGGGACGGCUAACUUCGUGCCAGCAGCCGCGGUAAUACGAAGGUCCCAAGCGUUGUUCGGAAUCACUGGGCGUAAAGGGAGCGUAGGCUGUGAGGUAAGUCGGGUGUGAAAUCCCGGGGCUCAACCCCGGAACUGCACUCGAUACUGCUUUACUAGAGGACUGGAGAGGAGAUUGGAAUUCUCGGUGUAGCAGUGAAAUGCGUAGAUAUCGAGAGGAACACCUGUGGCGAAAGCGAAUCUCUGGACAGUUCCUGACGCUGAGGCUCGAAGGCUAGGGGAGCGAAAGGGAUUAGAUACCCCUGUAGUCCUAGCAGUAAACGGUGCACGUUUGGUUUGGGGGGGAAUCGACCCCCUCUGAGCCGGAGCUAACGCGUUAAACGUGCCGCCUGGGAAGUACGGUCGCAAGACUAAAACUCAAAGAAAUUGACGGGGACCCGCACAAGCGGUGGAGUAUGUGGCUUAAUUCGAUGCAACGCGAAGAACCUUACCUAGGCUUGACAUGCAUCUCUAAGCGCGUGAAAGCGCGUGACUCUUCGGAGGAUUUGCACAGGUGCUGCAUGGCCGUCGUCAGCUCGUGUCGUGAGAUGUUGGGUUAAGUCCCGCAACGAGCGCAACCCCUGUGAUUAGUUACCAGCACGUGAUGGUGGGGACUCUAGUCAGACUGCCCAGAUCAACUGGGAGGAAGGUGGGGACGACGUCAGGUCAGUAUGGCCCUUACGCCUAGGGCUGCACACGUACUACAAUGCCCAGUACAAUGAGAACCGAGACCGCGAGGUGGAGGAAAUCUACAAAACUGGGCCCAGUUCGGAUUGGAGGCUGCAACUCGCCUCCAUGAAGUUGGAAUCGCUAGUAAUGGCACAUCAGCUACGGUGCCGUGAAUACGUUCCCGGGCCUUGCACUCACCGC
rnacentral:rRNA from 1 species